rnacentral:lncRNA from 1 species
AGCGGCUGCGGCUUUUGGUGGGAGAGAGGAGCCGAGGCAGUGUCAGGCGGCGUCAGACCAAAUACACGCUGAUCGAUGAGCAGGACAUCCCGCUGGUGGAGAGCUACUCCUUUGAGGCCCGAAUGGAAGUGGAUGCAGAUGGAAAUGGUGCUAAGAUAUUUGCCUAUGCCUUUGACAAGAACCGAGGAAGGGGCUCUGGGAGACUCCUUCAUGAGCUGCUGUGGGAGCGGCACCGGGGGGGCGUGGCCCCGGGCUUCCAGGUGGUGCACCUCAACGCUGUGACCGUGGACAAUCGCCUGGACAACCU